rnacentral:rRNA from 1 species
GACGAACGCUGGCGGCGUGCCUAAUACAUGCAAGUCGAGCGGACGGAUGGGAGAUUGCUCCCAGACCGUCAGCGGCGGACGGGUGAGUAACACGUGGGCAACCUGCCUGUAAGACUGGGAUAACUCCGGGAAACCGGGGCUAAUACCGGAUAACUCUUUCCCUCACAUGAGGGAAAGCUGAAAGAUGGCAUCUCGCUAUCACUUACAGAUGGGCCCGCGGCGCAUUAGCUAGUUGGUGAGGUAACGGCUCACCAAGGCGACGAUGCGUAGCCGACCUGAGAGGGUGAUCGGCCACACUGGGACUGAGACACGGCCCAGACUCCUACGGGAGGCAGCAGUAGGGAAUCUUCCGCAAUGGACGAAAGUCUGACGGAGCAACGCCGCGUGAGUGAUGAAGGUUUUCGGAUCGUAAAACUCUGUUGUCAGGGAAGAACAAGUACCGGAGUAACUGCCGGUACCUUGACGGUACCUGAACAGAAAGCCACGGCUAACUACGUG